CCCGAAAUCGUUUGACUCCUGUGACACGGGCCUUCCCCUUCGGGGGACAGAGUGACAGGUGGUGCAUGGUUGUCGUCAGCUCGUGUCGUGAGAUGUUGGGUUAAGUCCCGCAACGAGCGCAACCCUUGACCUUAGUUGCCAGCAUUCAGUUGGGCACUCUAAGGUGACUGCCGGUGACAAACCGGAGGAAGGUGGGGAUGACGUCAAAUCAUCAUGCCCCUUAUGACCUGGGCUACACACGUGCUACAAUGGAUGGUACAAAGGGCUGCGAGACCGCGAGGUUGAGCCAAUCCCAAAAAACCAUUCUCAGUUCGGAUUGCAGGCUGCAACUCGCCUGCAUGAAGCCGGAAUCGCUAGUAAUCGCGGAUCAGCAUGCCGCGGUGAAUACGUUCCCGGGCCUUGUACACACCGAACGUAC
rnacentral:rRNA from 1 species